GAGGGUAGAGCUCAAUGAUAGAGCAUUUGCUUAGCAUGCACAAAAGUCCUGGGUUCAGUCCCCAGUACCUCCA
rfam:Camelus ferus unplaced genomic scaffold scaffold485, whole genome shotgun sequence.